rnacentral:rRNA from 1 species
UUGACGUUAGCAACAGAAGAAGCACCGGCUAACUCCGUGCCAGCAGCCGCGGUAAUACGGAGGGUGCGAGCGUUAAUCGGAAUUACUGGGCGUAAAGCGCAUGCAGGUGGUUUGUUAAGUCAGAUGUGAAAGCCCGGGGCUCAACCUCGGAACUGCAUUUGAAACUGGCAGACUAGAGUACUGUAGAGGGGGGUAGAAUUUCAGGUGUAGCGGUGAAAUGCGUAGAGAUCUGAAGGAAUACCGGUGGCGAAGGCGGCCCCCUGGACAGAUACUGACACUCAGAUGCGAAAGCGUGGGGAGCAAACAGGAUUAGAUACCCUGGUAGUCCACGCUGUAAACGAUGUCUACUUGGAGGUUGUGGCCUUGAGCCGUGGCUUUCGGAGCUAACGCGUUAAGUAGACCGCCUGGGGAGUACGGUCGCAAGAUUAAAACUCAAAUGAAUUGACGGGGGCCCGCACAAGCGGUGGAGCAUGUGGUUUAAUUCGAUGCAACGCGAAGAACCUUAC